AACGAACGCUGGCGGCAUGCCUAACACAUGCAAGUCGAACGAAGGCUUCGGCCUUAGUGGCGCACGGGUGCGUAACGCGUGGGAACCUGCCCCCUCGGUUCGGAAUAACAGUUAGAAAUGACUGCUAAUACCGGAUGAUGACUUCGGUCCAAAGAUUUAUCGCCGAGGGAUGGGCCCGCGUAGGAUUAGCUAGUUGGUGGGGUAAAGGCCUACCAAGGCGACGAUCCUUAGCUGGUCUGAGAGGAUGAUCAGCCACACUGGGACUGAGACACGGCCCAGACUCCUACGGGAGGCAGCAGUGGGGAAUAUUGGACAAUGGGCGAAAGCCUGAUCCAGCAAUGCCGCGUGAGUGAUGAAGGCCUUAGGGUUGUAAAGCUCUUUUACCAGGGAUGAUAAUGACAGUACCUGGAGAAUAAGCUCCGGCUAACUCCGUG
rnacentral:rRNA from 1 species